CCCUCAUAUGUUCUGGGCUGCACGCGUGCUACACUGGAGGGAGUAGAAGGAACGUUUCCCUGAAAAGGGGUAUGAAUCCGUAAUUCCCUUCGUGAUUGGGAUAGGACUUUGCAAUUAUCGUCCUUGAACGAGGAAUUCCUAGUAAGCACAAGUCAUUAUCUUGUGCUGAUUACGUCACUGCUUUUUGUACACACCGCCCGUCGCUCCUACCGAUUGAGUGUUUCGGCGAGUUGAGUGGACAGCCCAACCGGCUAGAAACUCUGCAAGCCACAACAUUUAGAGGAAGGAAAAGUCGUANCA
rnacentral:rRNA from 1 species